rnacentral:rRNA from 1 species
GAUGAACGCUGACAGAAUGCUUAACACAUGCAAGUCAACUUGAAUUUGGGUUUUUAACUUAGGUUUGGGUGGCGGACGGGUGAGUAACGCGUAAAGAACUUGCCUCACAGCUAGGGACAACAUUUGGAAACGAAUGCUAAUACCUAAUAUUAUGAUAAUAGGGCAUCCUAUAGUUAUGAAAGCUAUAAGCGCUGUGAGAGAGCUUUGCGUCCCAUUAGCUAGUUGGAGAGGUAACGGCUCACCAAGGCGAUGAUGGGUAGCCGGCCUGAGAGGGUGAUCGGCAACAAGGGGACUGAGACACGGCCCUUACUCCUACGGGAGGCAGCAGAGGGGAAUAUUGGACAAUGGACCAAGAGUCUGAUCCAGCAAUUCUGUGUGCACGAUGAAGUUUUUCGGAAUGUAAAGUGCUUUCAGUUGGGAAGAAAGAAAUGACGGUACCAACAGAAGAAGUGACGGCUAAAUACGUG